AAGUUUAGUUUUUGCUAACAUCAUUUCGGUUGAGAUUGUCGCAUAGGGUAUAGGGCAGUUUACCUCUUUAUAUGUGGAAAGAAAAGCUAUUGAGUAUGGAUGAGAUGCCCUGAGUCCCUUAUAUCUUAAUCAAAAGUAUCAACUUGACGAACAUGUGCACUAUUGCAUUUCAUACAUUUGAUAUUCUUAUCACUCUAAGAUUAAUCAAGAACGAAGUUGGGGACUCGAAGACGAUCAGAUAUCGUCAUAGUCUCAACUAUAAACGAUGCCGACCAGGGAUCAGCGGAUGUUGUUUUUAGGACUCUGCUAGCACCUUAUGAGAAAUCAAAGUCUUUAUUAGGUU
rnacentral:ncRNA from 1 species